rnacentral:lncRNA from 1 species
GGUAGUGGGCUUGUGGUUUCUUAGGUAAAAAGAUGGCUAGGAUUUGAUAGGUGAAAGCUUGAGAUGUAAUAGGUGAAAGCUUGGGUUUUUUUAUUAUUUUUUAUUUUGUUUGAAAAGGGUGGAUGGUUGGGAAGGGUUUAUUGGGGUGAGACUGCCAAUGUAUUUUUUUUUUGGCUUGAAUUGGGUAGGUUUGAUGGUUUAAGGGUAGUUUGUAGUUAAUGGGUUAGCUUGGAUAAUGUUUGGGUUAAAUGGUAGGUAGGUAGAUUGGGCAUUGGCUGAAAUUAGAGGAAUUUGUGGGUUGACAUGGGGGAUUUAAUUUUAUCUUAGAAGGUUUACCUACAAAAUAAAAUAAAAUAGAAGGAAAAAAAUUAAAAAUAAAAUAAAAUGUGUAAUUUUUAUAUCUCGAAUUUAUAGCUUACCUAAUGCUAUGCUUAAAUAUUCAAGAAAUAAAUUAUUAAAAACCAAGAUUAUGGGAUUUAAUAAAAUAGUCAUGAUAAAUGCACCAG